rnacentral:rRNA from 1 species
GUGAACGCUGGCGGUAGGCCUGACACAUGCAAGUCGAACGGCAGCACAGUAAGAGCUUGCUCUUACGGGUGGCGAGUGGCGGACGGGUGAGGAAUACAUCGGAAUCUACUUUUUCGUGGGGGAUAACGUAGGGAAACUUACGCUAAUACCGCAUACGACCUACGGGUGAAAGCAGGGGAUCUUCGGACCUUGCGCGAUUGAAUGAGCCGAUGUCGGAUUAGCUAGUUGGCGGGGUAAAGGCCCACCAAGGCGACGAUCCGUAGCUGGUCUGAGAGGAUGAUCAGCCACACUGGAACUGAGACACGGUCCAGACUCCUACGGGAGGCAGCAGUGGGGAAUAUUGGACAAUGGGCGCAAGCCUGAUCCAGCCAUACCGCGUGGGUGAAGAAGGCCUUCGGGUUGUAAAGCCCUUUUGUUGGGAAAGAAAAGCAGCAGGUUAAUACCCCGCUGUUCUGACGGUACCCAAAGAAUAAGCACCGGCUAACUUCGUG